UGUUCCCCAGUGUCCCCAGCAACUCACUGAAGUGAGUUGCUACCUUAUUUCUGAAGCACUAGUUUUGAGCCUGUUGUCUGUGGGGCCUUGUUGCCCAAUUCUGAGGCCCAAUUAUGAAAGAUUUUGGACACCUUGGAGGUUAAGUGUGACCAAAGCAUGGAAUGCCAAGCUGAGCUAGAGAGGGUGCCUCCAAUUCACAGCCUGUGGCUGUAGCUGGACAGUUUUCAAGAGUGAUUUUCCUGAGGAGCAAAAUGUGUUGAGAGAAAUAAGGAGGGACUGAAAUAAUUGUAUCUUGAACCCAGAAGUGUACCUGAGACAUAAGAGAAGAAUGCAGAUUAAAACUAAAACAUACAUUCAGCUUGCACUGUAACAGGUGUGGUAUUGAGUUAAUGAAAAUUAUCCUCUGUUUUACAGAUAUUUGCCUCCAGCAAGAAAGGUAUAUGGGUUAUUUGGGUAUUUUUUAAUGUAAAGUUAGACCACUUGGCUAUAUGACUUCAGCCAAAUCAUGCAGCCAGCAUCAUUCCAUGUAUUACUGAGAAGUCUUUCAUAUGACGAUAUAUGACUGCUUGCACAAGCAGAUUUCAAGGUAUAUUUGUGGAAUUACAUUCAGAGCCGCAGGUGGAAUUUGGAUAUCAAGCUCUAAAUAAAUGUCCUAAAUACUCUAAAAGCCAAACCUAUCCAUCUCUGUAAGUCUGAUUGCAGUUGCGCUCCAUUGUCUGGUUACUUCCAGUGGUGGAAAGCAGAGAUGAAAUAUGUCUCUUUUUGCCUGGUAGGAUUUUGUCAUCAUUUCUUACUGAUUACCCAGGCAUCUGGUGAAACCAGGGAAUUCCCACAGAUUUUGUCUCUGCUAUUCUGAACAGUAUCUCUUUGAUGGCAAUACACGCAGCCCAGUACAGUUUACAACUUCGACUCAGAUUACUGUUGUAACUCUCAGUUACAGUAUUGGCUCAGUUUCUCUGUAUCUCCUGUUACUGCCAAAGAUCAGAAAAGCUCUUAGUAGAUCUUCCUAGCUAAAAUACAGCAUCUUCUAAAAUCCAUUCAAGGAAGGAAAACUCAACCAAAUAGACACAUUCCUCCAAACUUCUUCCCCGUGUUUUUACCUGAGUUUUUAUAUAGAUUAUAAAAUGAGAACAGGAUCAGAGCACAUGUAUAUAAAUUUAGGGAAAAUACUAUAUUGAGCUUUCUCCAGAGAUGUUUUUCUGAGCCACCAUGUAUGAAGGUCCAUUCAUUUUUUUGAUAAUAUAUUAGCUUCAGUGACUACAGUUACCCAAACCCAAAUUAUUUUCAUUGUAUGUUAUGAUACCCACGUUUUCAGAACCUAUGUGUUAUUUAGUUGAAACACAGUAGCUGGCACUUCUACUGAAAAAUCAUUAAACAUUUCCAUAUUGGCUUCCAACUUGUCUGGUGUUUUUGCCUGGCAGAAUACAGUGCAUCUUUGUGCGUUAUUAAUGGGCUGAGCUUCUGGACAAGACCAUGCUUUUUGCCACUGCGGAAUUUUCUUAGAAACAAUGCAUUAUAAAACAGACGGAAACUUUCAUACGUCCAGAGGACUAUUUUUGACAGAGUACGUUAAGUCGCUUUCAUUAGACAAAAGCUGCAAUGGAGAUUUCUUCCAUUCAAAGCAUAAAUUAAGAGUUUUAAAAAAAAUUCUAGGCAUUUUAGCAGUUGCAAUACUGGGAGGAAUAUGGGAGGCUGUUAGUCUGCUGGUCCAGUCUUUGGCCUGUAUGAGUCUUCACCUACUUUGACUCUAAGAUGGAUAAUGGUAUGAACACUUCAGAUGCAAAAAGAUCUAGAAGGGUUGCCAGAUGUGAGUGGGGCGGAAAAAUCACUGUCAAACAUUAGAGGAACCUUUCCAGGAGGACUGCAGGCUCUGGGAUGGGAAAUUUUACAGAUUUCAUGGAUUCACACUUCACAGAUUUCACAGAAUGCUCUGAGUUGGAAGGGAUCCACAAGGAUCAUUGAGUCCAACUCUUAAGUGAAUGGCCUAUACAGGGAUCAACACCAAAACCUUGGUGUUAUUAGCACCAUGCUCUAACCAGCUGAGCUAAUCUCAGGGUCAAUGUGCCAUUCCCAACAGCACUAGGAGCCAUGUUCAACCCUGCUAUAUCCCCCAAGCACUCCUGAGAUGUCCCAAAACCUAAAUGCUGAAAUAUAGCAUUUCAACAUUAGGCACCCUUUCUGCCCUGGCACCCGGGAAUCCUGUAGCAGAGCAGUCCAUACUUAUCUGCAUACUCUGAAGCUCAACUAAGACCUCUCUGUGCUUCAUGGCAUGCUCAGCACAGAUGAUAGAACAGGAGAGCAGCUGUGCAUGGCCCUGUGCCCAGUGGGCAGGAGCUGGCAGAGCUGGUUCUUCUCAUAUGGAGGAGUUAAACAAGAAGUUUCUUUGGCUGUGCAUCUGUCCUCUUAAUCCUCAGUCCUACAGCUGAACAUGUCUUCUGAAAUGAAGGCAAUUCAAAAAGCUGUCUAGGAAUUGU